rnacentral:rRNA from 1 species
AUGGCGGCAAAGAAACAUCUCUUUCGCUUUGGGUCUUUCACGAUAAAGGAUGGGUCAGAGAUUCGUUUUUGGGAAGACAUCUGGCUAGGCAAUGCCAGUCUCCGAGAACAAUAUCCAGGCUUAUACAACAUUGUUCGCGAUAAGAAUAAUACUAUUGCGCAAGUGCUCAGUUCAUUCCCGCCAAAUAUUUCGUUCAGGCGGGAUUUGAUUGGCCCCCGACUUGUGUCAUGGCAUAAUAUUUUAUCCCGACUAGAUUCGAUUAACCUGACACAAGGCCGGGAUGUGUUUCGCUGGAACCUUACUACAUCAGGGUCUUUCACUGUAGACUCUAUGUAUCGUGCACUCACACAUUCUGAGGUACCAGUGAGUAAUAACAAGAAAAUUUGGUGA